AACGCACAUUGCGCCCCUUGGUAUUCCGAGGGGCAUGCCUGUUCGAGCGUCAUUACAACCCUCAAGCACUGCUUGGUAUUGGGCUCCGCUGCUAACCCUGCGGGCCUUGAAAUCAGUGGCGGCGCCGUCUGGGCUCUGAGCGUAGUAAAUUUCCUCGCUAUAGAGACCUGGCGGUGGUAGCCAUCAACCCCCAACUUUCUAAGUUUGACCUCGGAUCAGGUAGGGAUACCCGCUGAACUUAA
rnacentral:misc_RNA from 1 species